rnacentral:rRNA from 1 species
ACAUGCCUACAACAUAGCAUUAAUGCACCGAAUCCCAUUAGAACUCUGCAGUUAAACACGCUCAGGCUAGAGUAGUACUGGGAUGGGUGACUGCCCGGGAAGUCCUAGUAUUUUACAUGCC